GCAGGAAUGGCGGAAUGGCAGACGCAGCAGACUCAAAAUCUGCCGUGGGCAACCACGUGAGGGUUCAAGUCCCUUUUCCUGCA
rnacentral:tRNA from 1 species